GCCGGUGUGGCGAAAUGGUAGACGCAGUCGACUCAAAAUCGACCGGGGCGACCCAUGUCAGUUCGACUCUGACCACCGGCACCA
rnacentral:tRNA from 1 species